GACGAACGCUGGCGGCGUGCCUAAUACAUGCAAGUAGAACGCUGAAGGAGGAGCUUGCUUCUCUGGAUGAGUUGCGAACGGGUGAGUAACGCGUAGGUAACCUGCCUGGUAGCGGGGGAUAACUAUUGGAAACAAUAGCUAAUACCGCAUAAUAGUAGAUGUUGCAUGACAUUUGCUUAAAAGGUGCAAUUGCAUCACUACCAGAUGGACCUGCGUUGUAUUAGCUAGUUGGUGGGGUAACGGCUCACCAAGGCAACGAUACAUAGCCGACCUGAGAGGGUGAUCGGCCACACUGGGACUGAGACACGGCCCAGACUCCUACGGGAGGCAGCAGUAGGGAAUCUUCGGCAAUGGACGGAAGUCUGACCGAGCAACGCCGCGUGAGUGAAGAAGGUUUUCGGAUCGUAAAGCUCUGUUGUAAGAGAAGAACGAGUGUGAGAGUGGAAAGUUCACACUGUGACGGUAUCUUACCAGAAAGGGACGGCUAACUACGUG
rnacentral:rRNA from 1 species